UCAGACCGAUGACCGUCAGUAAACGUAACAAGAGUAAGGCAACCGCUAGUGAUUGGUAACCCCAAUGCACGAUGCUGUUGUCUACUCUUGCACAGAAUGGAAUCAUGUUGUAAUUACAGUGCAAGAAGGUAAUUAUAACCCAUUUAAUUGAUAGCUAUGAUUAGUAAAAUGUGUAGCUGUAGAGAGUAUGUUAAAGACUGUCACCUCUGCGUGAUUGCAAGUGAACAGUGCCCCCUGGGAAGAGCUCUACAGUGUGAAGUGUAAAUAAAAAUAGCUGUUAUUCAAUUAGAUUAGCUAAUUAGAUGAUUAAC
rfam:BtVs-BetaCoV/SC2013, complete genome.